rnacentral:tRNA from 1 species
GAGGUUAUAGCUCAGUGGUAGAGCACAUGCUUAGCAUGCACGAGGUCCUGGGUUCAAUCCUAAGUACCUCCA